GAGUUUGAACCUGGCUCAGGAUGAACGCUGGCGGCGUGCCUAACACAUGCAAGUCGAACGAAGCAGAGGGGCGGAAUUUUUUCGGAGAGGAAGCCCCCCUGACUGAGUGGCGGACGGGUGAGUAACGCGUGGACAACCUACCCCGCACUGGGGGACAACAGCUGGAAACGGCUGCUAAUACCGCAUAUGCGCACGGCCCCGCAUGGGGCCGCGCGGAAAGCGCAUGCGGUGCGGGAUGGGUCCGCGUCUGAUUAGCUUGUUGGCGGGGUAACGGCCCACCAAGGCGACGAUCAGUAGCCGGCCUGAGAGGGUGGACGGCCACAUUGGGACUGAGACACGGCCCAGACUCCUACGGGAGGCAGCAGUGGGGGAUAUUGCACAAUGGGGGCAACCCUGAUGCAGCGACGCCGCGUGAGCGAUGGAGUACUUCGGUAUGUAAAGCUCUGUCAGCAGGGAAGAGAAUGACGGUACCUGACCAAGAA
rnacentral:rRNA from 1 species